CUGUGGAACGUGCUUGAAAUAAAGACGACCUGGAACGUGCCCAGAAUGUUGAAUUGACACUUACAUCAUGUGACAGUGCCUCGUAAAUAAUCAGUACGACGUGGCUAUAAGAAGUGUGCAAAAUCCAGACAAGAGAUUGCGUGAAAAAAAAUGUUGUUCAAAUGAUACAGGGUGGAGAGCGUGAAUUCGCUAUGCAAUUUGUUUCACCUUUGAAUACAGAAAUUCUGCUGGAUUUAGCACGCUGCUCAGCUAGCACCUCUGUCCUACCUAUAGUAGCUGGCUCGGAAACGUUAGCUAGCUAGCAUUAGGUCUGACUCAAGAAUGGGAAAAUUCUUAACAAGAAAGAAACGGAUGAAGACAACAGAAGGGGCCAUGGGGCGCUGUGUUGUAUUUUAAAUAGUUAAAUCUGCUAUCAAUUUCUAUUCUGACUUGUAAUGUUAAAAAAGGUAGAGAAAAUGAACUCCUGUUUCUCUGAAUUAGCUAGGCUCACGUUGAUAAACUACACAGAUUUGAGUCACUGCAAUUAAAAUUGUUUUCCCAAUGUAUCCUUCAAUUCAAUUGUUUUCACUAUGUAUUGCAUGUUUGAGGAGAUUAUAUACUGUUAAACAUGUUUGUAAUUUAAUAUUAAUAAAUGGCCAGAAGGUU